UUUCGCUGUUGGUUGAGACCGUGUCAGGAGUUGGGUGAAAAGGUGGGACUUGCCAAGGUUGGUGGGCGUUUUCGGGCUGAAGCCUGUCUGCAGCAGAGCAACCGGUUCCCGGAGCAAUCGUCAAUCCUCACGCCCGAACCGGCAAGGACGCUUAAUACGACAGGCAGAUCACAUUUGUACACUGAGCCUCUGCCCUCUACCUCAGCGCUCAGAACUCCUCAGCGGUCAUUCUUACCUCUCCCGACUUCAAGUCAGAAGAAGCAGUGAAAGCCCAAGCUCCUCAGCCUUGCUGACCAAUUGCAAUGGAGACCCUCAAUCUCCCUGUGCCAACUCUGAAGAGCCAAUCCGAAUUUCCUAACUCUAAGCCAGCAGGCACCCCAGACCGCGCAAUCAAUCAGAACCCAGACCUUCCUUUCCAAUUGGAACCCACAAGCUUCGGUCCUAAGGACCAAUAAGCAGGAACUCUUCAUCUUUCUUGCUUUCCCCCUCUCUGUCCUUGUCAGAGCAACCAAUCAGAAUAGGGAUCCCUCAGUUUUCCAGCCAGUUAAGUAUCAGGACUCGCCCACAUCCAACUAUCCAAUCUGUCCUGGCCCCACUCAAAUCAAGCUAUGCGGUCCUCAGGCUCAUCAUCCAAUCGUGAACAAUAAUAAAUUAACCACGAACCA